rnacentral:rRNA from 1 species
GAUGAACGCUGGCGGCGUGCCUAACACAUGCAAGUCGAGCGAUAGAAAUUCAAAAGGAUUUUCGUUCGGAAUGAAAGUGAAUGGAUUAGCGGCGGACGGGUGAGUAACGCGUGGGCAACCUGCCUUAUUACCGGAGGAUAGCUCCUAGGGAAACGGGUGGUAAUACUCUAUAAGCUUACGACAGGACAUCCUGAUGUAAAGAAAAGUGAUUAGCGGUAUAAGGACGGGGCCCGCGUCUGAUUAGAUAGUUGGUGGGGUAACGGCCUACCAAGUCGACGAUCAGUAGCCGACCUGAGAGGGUGAUCGGCCACAUUGGAACUGAGACACGGUCCAGACUCCGUACGGGGAGGCAGCAGGUGGGGAAUAUUGCACAAUGGGGGGAAACCCUGAUGCAGCAACGCCGCGUGAAGGAAGAAGUAUUUCGGUAUGUAAACUUCUAUCAGCAGGGAAGAAGAAAGUGACGGUACCUGACUAAGAAGAACCGGCUAAAUACGUGCCAGCAGCCGCGGUAA